rnacentral:rRNA from 1 species
GAUGAACGCUAGCGGCAGGCCUAACACAUGCAAGUCGAGGGGCAGCACGUCUUCGGAUGGUGGCGACCGGCGCACGGGUGCGUAACGCGUAUGCAACCUACCUCUUACAGUGGGAUAGCCCAGAGAAAUUUGGAUUAAUACCGCAUAGUAUACAGAUUCAGCAUUGGGACUGUAUUAAACAUUUAUGGGUAAGAGAUGGGCAUGCGUUCUAUUAGUUAGUUGGAGUGGUAACGGCACCCCAAGACAGCGAUAGAUAGGGCCCGUCGAGAGGGGAGUCCCCACCACUGGUACUGAGACACGACCAGACUCCUACGGGAGGCAGCAGUGAGGAA